UACAUGUACAUUUUACGCAAACAGAAACUCAAGGAUCAAGUGACUCCAAAACACAUCACUGUUUUUAUGAGUUUUGACGCUGAGUUGAGAGACUGACAUUCGACAAAAUAACAGGUGACAAGUUAAAUGAUUAGUUUGGUCGUCAGUUUGAUGCAUCUGGAAUGGGUGAGACUCGAGAGACUGUGGACUGGUGUUGGGCGCUUCAAUGCCAAGAUGUGGAACCUUGCUGAGGAUCCAGCCUGAGCCUCACACAAUCACACUACAUAUUGACCAGCAACAUCUCCAGUCUACCUCAGGCAUGUCAGAAGGAGAACUCAAGUCUAGUGCAGUGUCUUGAGGAUGAGGAGCGUGGGAGUCUAAAGCUAUAAAGCAGGUGAUGUCACUGCUGGAGCAUGAACUAGACCGAAUAAAUCAGAAGAAGAACUCAAGUCUAGUUCAGUGUCUUGAGGAUGAGGAGUGUGAAGCAGAUGAUGUCACUGCUUGAUCAUGAACUAGACCAAAGAAAUCAGUUACUGUCAGAGCAUAAUACCUUCAGCGAGAAGAAGGAUGUGAACUAGUUGACUGAUGAUGAAGUAUAUGAAGGUGGAUGAGGAAACACAACUGCAUCACAGAAUGAAUGAGUUACUGUCAGAGCAUAAUACCUUCAGUGAGAAGAAGGAUGUGAACUAUUGGACUGAUGAUGAAGUAUAUGAAGGUGGAUGAGGAGACACAACUGCAUCACAGAAUGAUGAGGUUGAUGUACAAAUUGAUAUUAUGAAGAAUGAGAUAAACCGCCACACUAAGUAUGGUCAUCAGAGAACCAAGCAAAGCUAUGGACUGAAGUGCCUGGGGUACUCAUUGGAAUAAGGAGAACUCAAGUCUAGUUCAGUGUCUUGAGGAUGAGGAGUGUGGGAGUCUAAAGCUGAAGCAGAUGAUGUCACUGCUGGAGCAUGAACUAGACCAAAGAAAUCAGUUGCUGUCAGAGCAUAAUACCUUCAGCGAGAAGAAGGAUGUGAACUAUUGGACUGAUGAUGAAGUAUAUGAAGGUGGAUGAGGAGACACAACUGCAUCACAGAAUGAAUGAUGAGGUUGAUGUACAAAUUGAUAUUAUGAAGAAUGAGAUAAACCGCCACACUAAGUAUGGUCAUCAGGGAACCAAGCAAAGCUGAGGAAUGAAGUGCCUGGGGUACUCAUUGGAAUGACUCAUCUGACUCAAUUCUUUGGCUGUGAGUUUCUUACGAUUCUGAUAUUGGAAUUUUCCUUGCCCGGCCGCACUUGGCAUCUCAUUGU